GAUGAACGCUGGCGGCGUGCUUAACACAUGCAAGUCGAACGGAAAGGCUCCUGCUUGCAGGGGUCUCGAGUGGCGAACGGGUGAGUAACACGUGGGUGAUCUGCCCUGCACUUCGGGAUAAGCCUGGGAAACUGGGUCUAAUACCGGAUAGGACGAUGGUUUGGAUGCCAUUGUGGAAAGUUUUUUCGGUGUGGGAUGAGCUCGCGGCCUAUCAGCUUGUUGGUGGGGUAAUGGCCUACCAAGGCGUCGACGGGUAGCCGGCCUGAGAGGGUGUACGGCCACAUUGGGACUGAGAUACGGCCCAGACUCCUACGGGAGGCAGCAGUGGGGAAUAUUGCACAAUGGGCGCAAGCCUGAUGCAGCGACGCCGCGUGGGGGAUGACGGCCUUCGGGUUGUAAACUCCUUUCGCUAGGGACGAAGCGCAAGUGACGGUACCUGGAGAAGAAGCACCGGCUAACUACGUG
rnacentral:rRNA from 1 species